GGAAUGGUGGCUGAGGUAGUAAGCGGAUCGUUGUAAGUGAUUUUAGGAGUAUGUUUAAUCCCAUUCCA
rnacentral:tRNA from 1 species